GAUGAACGCUAGCGGCAGGCUUAACACAUGCAAGUCGAGGGGUAGAGGAAGCUUGCUUCCUUGAGACCGGCGCACGGGUGCGUAACGCGUAUACAAUCUACCUUUUACAGAGGGAUGGCCCAGAGAAAUUUGGAUUAAUACCUCAUAGUAUUUUCGGAUCGCAUGAUUUGAUUAUUAAAGUUCCAACGGUAAAGAUGAGUAUGCGUCCCAUUAGCUAGAUGGUAAGGUAACGGCUUACCAUGGCUACGAUAGGUAGGGGUCCUGAGAGGGAGAUCCCCCACACUGGUACUGAGACACGGACCAGACUCCUACGGGAGGCAGCAGUGAGGAAUAUUGGACAAUGGGCGCAAGCCUGAUCCAGCCAUGCCGCGUGCAGGAAGAAGCAUCUAUGGUGUGUAAACUGCUUUUGUACGGGAAGAAACACUCCUACGUGUAGGAGCUUGACGGUACCGUAAGAAUAAGGAUCGGCUAACUCCGUGCCAGCAGCCGCGG
rnacentral:rRNA from 1 species